UCCCAAGCUAGCUGCAAAACCAACAAAAAUCCAUUAGAUAGGAUGAUUUUAGUUUCUUCAUUAUGAUCCCAUAUUUAAUACUCCAUAUUUCAGCAAAUUAAAUUCCCAUAAUCCAUUUUCAUGAUAACGAAUGAAAAGGAAGAUUAUUACAUUACCUGAUGAUAUCAAACUUAUCUCGAGAGACUUUCAAUAUAGAAAAUUUAGAAACAUAA
rnacentral:lncRNA from 1 species